rnacentral:rRNA from 1 species
AAAACAUCGCCUCCUGAUAAUUAUAGGAGGUCCAGCCUGCCCAGUGACAAAGUUAAACGGCCGCGGUACCCUAACCGUGCAAAGGUAGCACAAUCACUUGUUCUUUAAAUGAGGACUAGUAUGAACGGCAUCACGAAGGUUAUACUGUCUCCCCCCUCCAAUCAGUGAAACUGACCUCCCCGUGAAGAAGCGGGGAUAUUAUUAUAAGACGAGAAGACCCCAUGGAGCUUUAAACUCAGAAUCACCUGCUUCAACCCACAGCCUCCCAACUAAGCAGUCCUGACUCUCUAGUUUUCGGUUGGGGUGACCGCGGAGUAAAAAUAAACCUCCACGACGAAAGGAACUACUCUCCUAAUCCAAGAGCUACAGCUCUAAGAAUCAAAUUAUUGACAAAAUUGAUCCAAAUUUCUUUGAUCAACGAACCAAGUUACCCUGGGGAUAACAGCGCAAUCCAUUUCAAGAGCCCCUAUCGACAAAUGGGUUUACGACCUCGAUGUUGGAUCAGGGUAUCCUAGUGGCGCAGCCGCUACUAAAGGUUCGUUUGUUCAACGAUUA